GGGGUCCAUCAUAAAGCACAUAGCUUCUCUCAAUGCCUUACUGUUAUUUAUAUAGUGAUCACAAUCCACAUUGAGCAUGUAAGGAGCAUUUGAUAUGACUGCUGAUACACGCAUCAAAGCAUUCAUGGCACCAGCCUUCUUGUGGUGGUCAAAUCCAGGACGCUUUUCACGAGAAACAUAGAUAAGGCGAGGCAAUACAUUCCCUUCAAUAUCACGGACACCAUCAUUACCCAGGAAGACCUGAAUCAUUCCAGGAUGAUCCCUGACAAGAUUUCCUGGCCAAGGUGUUCCAUCUUGCAUGGUCCAGCCAUCUUCAGGAACCUUUUGUGCUGUGGCAACCAGCCCAUUUAUCC
rnacentral:misc_RNA from 1 species